AUGGGAGUGUAAACUAGUUCAACCAUUGUGGAAGACAGUGUGGCGAUUCCUCAAGGAUCUAGAACUAGAAAUACCAUUUGACCCAGCCAUCCCAUUACUGGGUAUAUACCCAAUGGAUUAUAAAUCAUGCUGCUAUAAAGACACGUGCCACACGUAUGUUUAUUGCAGCACUAUUCACAAUAGCAAAGACUUGGAACCAACCCAAAUGUCCAUCAGUGAUAGACUGGAUUAAGAAAAUGUGGCACAUACCAUGGAAUACUAUGCAGCCAUAAAAAGGAUGAGUUCAUGUCCUUUGUAGGGACCUGGAUGAAGCUGGAAACCAUCAUUCUGAGCAAACUAUCGCAAGGACAGAAGACCAAACACCGCAUGUUCUCACUCAUAGGCUCUUGCAGCCAAUGCCGGAACAGGAUUUGCUGUUGCUGAGCCUCAAAUCGCAAUGUUUUGUGGGAAGUUAAAUAUGCAUGUGAACAUUCAGACCGGGAAAUGGGAACCUGAUCCAACAGGCACCAAGAGCUGCUUUGAAACAAAAGAAGAAGUUCUUCAGUACUGUCAGGAG
rnacentral:sRNA from 1 species